CUAUUCCUACGGGGGGCAGCAGUAGGGAAUUUUCGUCAAUGGGCGCACGCCUGCCCGCUCCCUGCCUCUUUCCCUCUUCAGGUCUUCGGAUCGUAAAGUUCUGUUGAAGGGGAAAAAGAGCGGAGAGAGGAAAUGAACUCCGAUUGAUAUUACCCUUCGAGGAAGUCACGGCUAACUACGUGCCAGCAGCCGCGGUAAUACGUAGGUGGCGAGCGUUAUCCGGAAUGAUUGGGCGUAAAGGGUGCGUAGGCGGCCUGCUAAGUCUGGAGUGAAAGGUACCGGCUCAACCGGUACAGGCUCUGGAA
rnacentral:rRNA from 1 species